rnacentral:misc_RNA from 1 species
AACCUAGCACACCUGCGGUGUGUACCUGCGGAGGGAUCAUUACUGAGUGAGGGCCUUCGGGCUCGACCUCCAACCCUUUGUGAACACAACUUGUUGCUUCGGGGGCGACCCUGCCGUUUCGACGGCGAGCGCCCCCGGAGGCCUUCAAACACUGCAUCUUUGCGUCGGAGUUUAAGUAAAUUAAACAAAACUUUCAACAACGGAUCU